ACUUCUAUAGUUUUAAUGAUCUGUGAUUACUUUAAAAUGUACCGUAUAUGGGUGAAAUGGUCAUUUUUCCAUUCCAUUACUGUUUUUUUAAAAGAUUUAUUUAUUUGAAAGAGUUACACAGAGAGAGGAGAGGCAGAGACAGAGAGACAGAGAGAGAGAGAGAGGUCUUCCAACCGCUAGUUCACUCCCCAAAUGGCCACAAGCUCCAAAGCCAGGAGCCAGAGCUUCUUCCAGGUCUCCCACGUGGGUGCAGAGGACCAAGGACCUAGGCCAUUUUCUACUGCUUUCCCAGGCCACAGCAGAGAGCUGGAUCAGAAGUGGAGCAGCUGGGACUCGAACCAGCGCCCAUAUGGGAUGCCGGCACUGCAGGUGGUGGCUCUACCCACUGCGCCACAGCGCUGGCCCCUCAAUUCCUGUUCAAAGCAAUUGUCUAUAUUCCUGCUAAACUAGGGGCUUCUUGCUUUUUACUCGUUAAACUUCCUGUUCGCUGGAGUACUAAGCCUUCUUUCUGUACUGUGAAGUUAAAAUAUGUUAUCUCAAAAACUAGACAGAAAGGGACCAGGAAGGAGGGUGGGAGGGGAAUACCACGUCUUGGAAUUGCAUCUGCAAACCACAUCGGAUCUGUUGAACACUGGACUGAAGAGCCCAGUCACCCAGCCCACUCUGCGGAGACGCCUCGGCCCCCGGAGCAGCUCGGCUGGUUUAGAGCCACAUCCCUGCUGUAAAUACUCCAUACGGAAUUCGAGGGAUUUAGGUCCCGGUUCAACGACAGCGAUGUCGCUGCUGAGCCGGGAACACAGCACGGGCAAUGCAGCCGCGGAAACCACCGAACGCGAUCGGCGGGGAGAGGCGGCGGAGCUGAGCGGGGCAGGACGGCAGAGGCGGGCAGGACGGCAGCGCGAGGCCGGCUCCACGCACGCUCCGCGCCGGCUUUGCGGGGCUACUCGGGCGGCAGCAGCUGUGGGCAGGCCUCCCACCCAGGCCCCUCAGACGAGGCCAGGGCAGUAUGGGAGCAUCUCCGGCUCUCAGCACCACCUACUUACUCUGAAAGAUCCAGAUCUCCAGAAAGAAGACAAAAAGGGGUCACAGAGGGUGUGGCCUGCAGCUAAGGUUCUGUCCGCAAUGCCGGCAUCCCAUAUGAAUGCAAGUUCGAGUCCUGGCUGCUCCACUUCUGAUCCAGCUUCCUGCUGUGGCCUGGGAAAGCAGCUGAAGAUGGCCCAAGUGCUGGGUCCCUGCACCCGUGUGGGAGACCCAGGAAGAAGCUCCUGGCUCCUGGCUUCAGAUCAACCCAGCUCCAGCCACUGUGGCCAUUUGGGGAGUGAACCAGCAGAUGGAAGACCUCUCUCUGUCUCUCGCCCUUCCCCUCUCUCUCUGUAA
rnacentral:lncRNA from 1 species